rnacentral:lncRNA from 1 species
AGAAAUGGGGCAGAGGUGGUGGGGAAGCAGUUGCCAUCCCAAUGCCAGUCACCAUUGGGAAGCAGCAGUGUGCAGCCAGCGGAAGCUAAAGGAAGAAUCCCUCGAAGACUGGAUUCUACCAGCACCCCUGAGAAACUUCAUUCCCAAGGACCCGCCCCUUCACCUGCAGGCCAGCUUCUAGCAUGCCAACAGGAAGAGGCUCUAACAGAGUUAGUUGGCUGUACAGCUCCCCGGCUUCAGACACACCCCCCACCUCAAGAAAUGGAUGCCCGGGAGGAGAAUUGUGUUUGGCUGGCGUCUGUAGAGAUUACAGAGGCAGAGGACUGUGCCCUGGCAAGACGUGGGAAGAGCAAUGAUGGACAUCAGAGAAGGACACUAGGCACCUGA